UACGUGGGGUGCAAGCGUUAAUCGGAAUUACUGGGCGUAAAGCGUGCGCAGGCGGUUAUGUAAGACAGGGGUGAAAUCCCCGGGCUUAACCUGGGAACUGCAUUUGUGACUGCAUAGCUAGAGUACGGUAGAGGGGGAUGGAAUUCCGCGUGUAGCAGUGAAAUGCGUAGAUAUCUGGAAGAACACCGGUGGCGAAGGCGGUCAACUGGCCCUCAACUGACGCUGAGGCACGAAAGCGUGGGGAUCAAACAGG
rnacentral:rRNA from 1 species